GCCGGAGUAGCUCAGUGGUAGAGCAGCGCUUUUGUAAAGCGAAGGGGCUUAACGCCAUUCGGAGGUUCGAAUCCUCUCUCCGGCU
rnacentral:tRNA from 1 species